rnacentral:rRNA from 1 species
UAGGGAAUCUUCGGCAAUGGACGAAAGUCUGACCGAGCAACGCCGCGUGAGUGAAGAAGGUUUUCGGAUCGUAAAACUCUGUUGUUAGAGAAGAACAAGGACGUUAGUAACUGAACGUCCCCUGACGGUAUCUAACCAGAAAGCCACGGCUAACUACGUGCCAGCAGCCGCGGUAAUACGUAGGUGGCAAGCGUUGUCCGGAUUUAUUGGGCGUAAAGCGAGCGCAGGCGGUUUCUUAAGUCUGAUGUGAAAGCCCCCGGCUCAACCGGGGAGGGUGAUUGGAAACUGGGAGACUUGAGUGCAGAAGAGGGGAGUGGAAUUCCAUGUGUAGCGGUGAAAUGCGUAGAUAUAUGGAGGAACACCAGUGGCGAAGGCGGCUCUCUGGUCUGUAACUGGCGCUGAGGCUCGAAAGCGUGGGGAGCAAACAGG